GACGUAGGGCGCGAGCGUUGUCCGGAUUUAUUGGGCGUAAAGAGCUCGUAGGCGGUUUGUCGCGUCGUUCGUGAAAACUCACAGCUUAACUGUGAGCUUGCGGUCGAUACGGGCAGGCUAGAGUUCAGUAGGGGAGACUGGAAUUCCUGGUGUAGCGGUGAAAUGCGCAGAUAUCAGGAGGAACACCGGUGGCGAAGGCGGGUCUCUGGGCCGAUACUGACGCUGAGGAGCGAAAGCGUGGGGAGCGAACAGG
rnacentral:rRNA from 1 species